rnacentral:rRNA from 1 species
UACGUAGGUGGCAAGCGUUGUCCGGAUUUACUGGGCGUAAAGGGAGCGUAGGCGGAUUUUUAAGUGAGAUGUGAAAUACCCGGGCUCAACUUGGGUGCUGCAUUUCAAACUGGAAGUCUAGAGUGCAGGAGAGGAGAAUGGAAUUCCUAGUGUAGCGGUGAAAUGCGUAGAGAUUAGGAAGAACACCAGUGGCGAAGGCGAUUCUCUGGACUGUAACUGACGCUGAGGCUCGAAAGCGUGGGGAGCAAACAGGAUUAGAUACCCCCGUAGU